AAUAUUGACAAUCUCCUUUGUCAAUAUUUAUCUUAUUCAUUUUUUUUAUAAUUUUAAAACAUCUUUUUAAUAUUUCCUCAAAAAUAUUAUUAACAUUUUUUGCAAAAUUCUAAAACAAACGCCAAACGGGGCUAACCCUUUUGACAACCAUGAACAUGCACUAUAUGAAACAUUGUAGUACAAACACGACAAGUUUAUGCUUAUAGGUUUUACUCAUUGUCUUCAAUUGUUAAGCACCUUUUACUUUCUUUUCUUUUUAUUUUUGCUUCAUUUUGAAUUUAGUUAUUUGCUUCUUGGGUAACGAUGGGAAUUUUGUUAAUUCACUUUUGUUAUUGA
rnacentral:lncRNA from 1 species